rnacentral:rRNA from 1 species
CAGCAGCCACGGGAAUGCGUAGGUGGCAAGCGUUGUCCGGAAUUAUUGGGCGUAAAGCGCGCGCAGGUGGUUUAAUAAGUUUGAUGUGAAGGCCCACGGCUCAACCGUGGAGGGUCAUUGGAAACUGUUAAACUUGAGUGCAGGAGAGAAAAGUGGAAUUCCUAGUGUAGCGGUGAAAUGCGUAGAGAUUAGGAGGAACACCAGUGGCGAAGGCGGCUUUUUGGCCUGUAACUGACACUGAGGCGCGAAAGCGUGGGGAGCAAACAGGAUUAGAUACCCCAGUAGUCCCUGUCUCUUAUAC